CUGUUGUGUUUCUGCUGCACAUCUUUCCUCUUUCUGACGCUCCUCCACACACUCCUCCACAUCCAGGCGGAUUCACAGCUCCAGUAAAGCUCACACACAGGUCAGCAGUCAAACAUCAGUUCCAGCAGGUGUUCAAACAGGAGAUCUGUGGCUCUGUGGUAAGAGCGCUGCCCCACGGCUUCAGGGGUUGCUGGUAUCGGUCCCAGCCAGAACUCUGCGAUAUGUGUGAAUGGCGGCAUCAGCGAGCUGCUCUUUUAGCCUGAACACCUUUGACAACAGCGCCACAGAUCAUCACAGGUACACCGUUUUACUGGCGUCAAGUUGAGUUCCAGUAGAUGACAGCUCAGUGACAGACUCAUAAUGUCAGUCAACAGCACAUAUUACAGCCCGACAGUGAAGAAAAGCGACACAAAGUGCAGAAAUGGAGAG